rnacentral:lncRNA from 1 species
GAUUAGGGAGGAAGAAAAAAAAUCCAGACCAGCAAUUUACAAAUCAGCUCCUCUAGGACAGAAGAUGUACUUAACAAACAAACUUUUUUCAAGACACAGAGACCCAGAUCAGACUUCUUCCAUGGCUGCGCUUGCUGGUCUCCACACAAUGAGAAAUAGAUACUUAAGGUUGCUGCCAUCCUCAGGACUCUUGCUGCUGUUUUUGCCAUUGGGAUUUGCAGCCCUGGAAACAAGAUCCUGUGCUUGGUGGUGCCCUCCAAAACCUCCAUGUAUCAAUGCCGAUAACUGCCGUUGCUUUCCAGGAUUUGGUUCUUCAUCUGAGGUGAUCUUCACUGGCCCCUUGGAGAGUUGUGAUGAUAUCAAAGAGUGUGGACCAUCCUGGAAUGUGUCCUCUGAAAUACAUAUAGACUGCCAGGACUUUAACGAGAGCUACUCCCUUUGCAAAAAAGGAAACAGUCUUCUUUCUCGUGAAAUGUUUGUGAAUGAGUGUAGAAGCAUGACUUCUGGACUAGAGGCACUGCUGAUUAUAACAUUGAAAACUGCAGCCGAAAAGCUUAAAGCCUCUGACCCCACAGAAUGUGCCCAGUGGUGCCCUCCAAACUCCAAAUGUGUCAAUGCUAACAUCUGACACUGCACUUUGGGGUUCAAUUCAUCAUCUGGAGAAAUCAUCACCAGCUGUUCAGAGAGUUGUGAUGGUACAGAGGUUUGGAGGGAGGGUGGCAUACCAAAGUUGUGGG